UCGGGAAUUUUGGGCAAUGGGCGAAAGCCUGACCCAGCAACGCCGCGUGAAGGAUGAAGUAUUUCGGUAUGUAAACUUCGAAAGAAUAGGAAGAAUAAAUGACGGUACUAUUUAUAAGGUCCGGCUAACUACGUGCCAGCAGCCGCGGUAAUACGUAGGGACCAAGCGUUGUUCGGAUUUACUGGGCGUAAAGGGUGCGUAGGCGGCAUAUCAAGUCACUUGUGAAAUCUCCGGGCUUAACUCGGAACUGCCAAGUGAUACUGAUGUGCUAGAGUGCAGAAAGGGCAACUGGAAUUCUUGGUGUAGCGGUGAAAUGCGUAGAUAUCAAGAGGAACACCUGAGGCGAAGGCGAGUUGCUAGGCUGACACUGACGCUGAGGUACGAAAGCGUGGGGAGCGAACGGGAUUAGAUACCCCCGUAGUCCCUGAGCGGGCUGGCAAGGCGCAU
rnacentral:rRNA from 1 species